UAAUGUACAAAUCUGGUUGCCAUACCACAUUAAAAUCCUCGCAAUGACACACAUCGUGCCCGUGGCUUACUCAGCCAAACACACAAAGUCCGCACAAAGCUGGGGGUAGGAGCCAAGAAAACUUCGCUUUAAAAUGUGAGCAGAUGUUUCACUUAACUGGUCCCUUUGCUCGCUACAGCGAAAGCUGGACGGCCACCCCCGUUUGAAAACCAACCGAACUCGCCGCCUAAAAGGCAAAGGAGCACGGGAAAAACCAACGUUGCAAGCACAGGAAAAAACAAAACUACCUACGUUUCUACGCAUACCGUUAUUUAGUGGACAGAACGGCAAGAACGGCACUGAACCGAAUGCUCCCAAGUGGCAUCUCAUAGCAAAACUGGAUUAACAGCAAGCUGCACUUCUCCACUUUAGAAUACUCCCAUCAGGAACAUGGACAAAGAAGUCAACGAGCCGGUUGUGCGCGAAGAUGCAAGGACUGCAGUCACCGCAUGCCCUACGCGGAGGUUCAAAGGCAAAGAAAAGCCAGAAUCUGCACCAGUCGACAGUGAGCACGAUGCCAAAGGAACGGGUAAUGAAACCCGUACUCCGAAGUGAGAACAUGUGAACGUACUGUGAUAAGACUGCAUCGCUCAACACCACAAUGGCCUUGUUUUCUGAUGGAAGUAAUUCACACAACACUGUUUAUUUUUUGAAACUGUAUUUUCAGUGUGAUGGCUUUUCAAACUGUACUUUCAGUGUAAUGAGUCUUGAAAUAAAAUGAUAAUGAACAG
rnacentral:lncRNA from 1 species